GAGACUCUGUGCGCGUGCAUAUCAAUAAGCGGAGGAAAAGAAACUAACAAGGAUUCCCCUAGUAACGGCGAGUGAGGCGGGAAGAGCUCAAAUUUGAAAUCUUAAAGGUUUUACCCUUGACGAAUUGUAGUUUAAAGAAGUGUUUUCUGUUGAAGUUUCGCUAAAAGUUCUUUGGAAUAGGACAUCAUAGAGGGUGAGAAUCCCGUAUUUGUACCAUUACUUUCCAACUGUGUGAUACACUUUCAAAGAGUCGGAUUGUUUGGGAAUGCAGUCCGAAGAUGGGUGGUAAAUUUCAUCUAAAGCUAAAUAUUGGCGAGAGACCGAUAGCGAACAAGUACCGUGAGGGAAAGAUGAAAAGAACUUUGAAAAGAGAGUUAAACAGUACGUGAAAUUGUCAAAAGGGAAGCGCUUGACACCAGCGUUGUUUAGUUGAAAAUCAAUUCAAUAGUUUUUGAUUCUAAGUAGUAUUGACUUCAUCAGCUUGCUGCUUUCUUCUCAGAAAUUAUUGAAUGCACUUUUCGGUUAACAAGUCAACAUCAAUUUCUUUUGUUGUAAAAGGGUAAGAGGAAGGUGGCUUGCGCUUCGGCUCAAGUGUUUAUAGCCUUUUAUCUCUGCAAUCGGAGAGAUUGAGGUCUGCAGCGUAGAUCCUUCGGGGUUAGAUACAUUGGUGCUAAGCUAUAGCCUUGUAUAGACAACUUGUUGACUAUGCUCAGUCAUGUAGCUUACUCGCUGAUGCUAUUUUACCUACGCUUAGGAUGUUGAAGAUGUAGCACAUCAU
rnacentral:rRNA from 1 species